rnacentral:rRNA from 1 species
UCGAACGGUGAGCCCUUCGGGGUGGAUCAGUGGCGAACGGGUGAGUAACACGUGGGCAAUCUGCCCUGCACUCUGGGACAAGCCCUGGAAACGGGGUCUAAUACCGGAUAUGACCUUCCUCUGCAUGGGGGUUGGUGGAAAGCUCCGGCGGUGCAGGAUGAGCCCGCGGCCUAUCAGCUUGUUGGUGGGGUAAUGGCCUACCAAGGCGACGACGGGUAGCCGGCCUGAGAGGGCGACCGGCCACACUGGGACUGAGACACGGCCCAGACUCCUACGGGAGGCAGCAGUGGGGAAUAUUGCACAAUGGGCGAAAGCCUGAUGCAGCGACGCCGCGUGAGGGAUGACGGCCUUCGGGUUGUAAACCUCUUUCAGCAGGGAAGAAGCGCAAGUGACGGUACCUGCAGAAGAAGCACCGGCUAACUACGUGCCAGCAGCCGCGGUAAUACGUAGGGUGCGAGCGUUGUCCGGAAUUAUUGGGCGUAAAGAGCUCGUAGGCGGCCUGUCGCGUCGGAUGUGAAAGCCCGGGGCUUAACCCCGGGUCUGCAUUCGAUACGGGCAGGCUAGAGUGUGGUAGGGGAGAUCGGAAUUCCUGGUGUAGCGGUGAAAUGCGCAGAUAUCAGGAGGAACACCGGUGGCGAAGGCGGAUCUCUGGGCCAUUACUGACGCUGAGGAGCGAAAGCGUGGGGGAGCGAACAGGAUUAUAUACCCUGGUAGUCCACGCCGUAAACGUUGGGAACUAGGUGUUGGCC